UCUUGACCCGUUAUCUGAUCCGAGCCCAAAUCACAUAGCUAACUUUUUUUAGAACAAAUUGUAUAGCAGAGAUCUCCAUCUCCAUAUCCUGAAUCUGUUCAAGGAGAUGAUGCUAUUGGUGGUUUAGAUUUUCAUGCAAGAGGUGGUAGCAGCGAGUCGGCUCUGGGAAGAGAGGUGUUGUAAUGGAUUUGAGGAAGUCGAGUAGGUUCAAGGAGCUUUUACCCCAUCUAAAGCUUGCAUGUGUUAUAUCUUUUCUAGCAUUAUCUUCGUUUAUGCUUAGUGUUUCAAUAUUGUCAUAUACUUCUAUGUGUGAAUAUUUAUUUACUGUCACUAUAGGCCCAACAUCAUUCACCUCUGUAAUUGAGAAGGCUAUGACAAUUGUUGAAGAAACUGGUGGGCAAUGUCAUGUGUUGGUUAUAAUCGCUGAUGGUAACAAGAAGUGUGGAUACUGGGCGUGGUCUAUUGAGUCCACAAGAACAGAAAACCAUAGAUGCUAUAGUUGAAGCACGGUGCUUUUCUGCAACUUUGGUAAGUUUAUAAAAUAUUUUUUUUAUAGUUUUUUCCAUUAUCAAUUGUAUUAGUUGGAGUUGGUGAUGGGCCGUGGGACACAAUGAAUGAAUUCGAUGAUAAUAUCCCUUCUCGGAGCUUUGACAAUUUCCAGUUUGUGAAUUUCACGGAAAUCAUGACCAAAAAUGUGCCACCAAUCCGAAAGGAGAGAGAGUUUGCUCUUGCAGCACUAAUGGAAGUUCCUACUCAAUAUAAAGCAACCUAAGUGAUAUGUUUCCCGCCGCAUCGCGCGGGUAAACGACUAGUAGUUACCAUACCAGUAUCCAGGCAGCUCCAUUCGAAGCAUUGUACGGAUGAAAAUGUCGUUCACCUCUCUGUUGGGCUGAGGUGGGUGAUAGCCAGAUCACAGGUCCGGAGCUUGUACUCGAGACGUCAGAAAAGAUUGUUCAGAUUAAGAAUCGUAUGGCGGCAGCGCGCGACCGUCAGAAAAGCUACGCUGACAAGCGUAGGAAACCUUUGGAGUUCGCGGUGGGCGAUCGUGUCAUGUUGAAAGUCUCACCCUGGAAGGGUGUGGUGCGGUUUAGAAAACGCGGAAAGCUUAAUCCACGUUAUGUAGGGCCUUUUAAAAUUUUGGAACGAAUUGGUAAAGUGGCAUACAACCUCGAGUUACCCGCUGAGUUGGGUAACGUUCAUGAUGUUUUCCACGUGUCGCAACUAAAGAAGUGUUUGUCCGAUGAAAAUUGACGACAAGUUGCAGUUUGUCGAAGAACCUAUCGAAAUUAUGGACCAAGAAGUUAAGGUCCACAAGCAUAGUCGAAUUCCGAUCAUGAGAGUUCGUUGGAACUCAAGACGUGGACCGGAGUUCACAUGGGAACGCGAAGAUCAGAUGAAGCUCAAGUAUCCUCAUUUAUUCCCAGCUGACCAAACUAAUCCUGUUACAACUGGCGAAUUUCGGGACGAAAUUCCCUUUCAAGUUGGGGAUGAUGUGGCACCUAGGGAAGAUCCACAGUCAUCCUGACCUAACUACGUGUCGUUUUGGAUUGCUUAUCAAAUUUCGGGACGAAAUUUCUUUCAA